GAUGAACGCUGGCGGCGUGCCUAAUACAUGCAAGUCGAGCGAACAGACGAGGAGCUUGCUCCUCUGACGUUAGCGGCGGACGGGUGAGUAACACGUGGAUAACCUACCUAUAAGACUGGGAUAACUUCGGGAAACCGGAGCUAAUACCGGAUAAUAUAUUGAACCGCAUGGUUCAAUAGUGAAAGACGGUUUUGCUGUCACUUAUAGAUGGAUCCGCGCUGCAUUAGCUAGUUGGUAAGGUAACGGCUUACCAAGGCGACGAUGCGUAGCCGACCUGAGAGGGUGAUCGGCCACACUGGAACUGAGACACGGUCCAGACUCCUACGGGAGGCAGCAGUAGGGAAUCUUCCGCAAUGGGCGAAAGCCUGACGGAGCAACGCCGCGUGAGUGAUGAAGGUCUUCGGAUCGUAAAACUCUGUUAUUAGGGAAGAACAAAUGUGUAAGUAACUAUGCACGUCUUGACGGUACCUAAUCAGAAAGCCACGGCUAACUACGU
rnacentral:rRNA from 1 species